UCGGAAGGGAGGAGGUUUAUUUUACACUGGCACCACAUUGAGACUUCAUGUUCAUGAACUCUUCCUAAUCCCAUAAGGUCUCUCUGAAAGAAGCCAUGGGC